CACAACAUCAGAAACAGGAGCCAAUAAUACUUCAUUUUGGUCAUUUAGCAGAUGCUCUUAUCCACAAGGAAUUUCAGUCAGUGCAAUCUAAUACAACAAGCACAAUACAACAUGAUCAACAAGUAGUGAACAUCUUCAACUACAGAGCUGGAACAAAUGAACAGCACUCGCUCUUCAGAGAUUAGGAACAUCAGUACUUCCUUGGAAAAUGGGUCUGGUUUUAGAAACUAUUUCCUGAUGAGCCCCGAGCUAGCUCACGUCUACAUGCUCGUUCAAUAGCCCUGCGAAGGGAGAAGAGAACACUCUGGUGUGAACACACACUUCAUUGUGUUAACACGUAGACCCAGGUCUCCUGUCAGCACACAAGCCUUCUUAUUGGCUAGCCUGGCCCCGGAGCCAAUAAAAACCCAGUAAAGUAGAGGAGUUGAGGCUCUAGGGCUUGUAACAGGUGUGAGGGGAACAAUGAGAGGAGAGGUGUUAAAACCUGGAUGAGAACUGCUGACCCCACACCUAGUCUUCAAUGGCUCACACAGACCAAACAGCAAAUACACUACGGAUGUCAUAUAAGGUCAGAUCUAGUGUACAGUCUAAUGAUUUGAUCAGAGGAUUUGUCUAGUUUAUCUAAAAUGAAUUCAAUCCAACAUCAACAUUUGGAUUACAAGAGCUAAAUAAAAGGCCUUAAAUCUGUCAUCUUUCCCGUCACCAUAAAUCACAAAUGGAAACAUGCACCGACAAGGAAAGAGUUAAAUAACGGAGGGAAAACACCAAGAGAAGACACUGUUGAACUGUCAUUAAGAUGAAAAACAGUCCACCCCAUUGCCCCAGGGUGACACCUGGAGAAGGUUCUCAUCAUAAACAUGCAGAAGGAGAGAGAAAAGUGGCCUGUUUAGAAUUGUGACUUUCUACCGACCAACAUGGGAGCAGAGAACACAUGCAGUCAAGAUCAUUAUGGACAUUCCAACAUGGUCCACUCACUAGCCCUUGGUUACCACACCCUGACAGCUCUCCACUGCACACUGUGAGCUGUCUGACAGCACGGGGCUGUGCUGUCCAGAGUAGUUUAGCUUCCAGCUACAGUCCUUUUCCCAGGGCCUCUGAGUCUGCAGCUAUAAGAGGUGAGUCACUGUCAGGCCUUUAGGAAACAGACCUGUCACUCUAUUUUCCCUUUCUCUCCUACUCGCUCUCUUAUCUUGCUCUCUUUUUCUGUCUCUCUCUCAAUUCAAUUCAAGGGCUUUAUUGACAUGGGAAACAUAUGUUAACGUUGCCAAAGCAAGUGAGAUAGAUCAUAAAGAAAAGUGGAAUAAACAAAAAAUGUACAGUAAACAUUACACUCACAAAAGUUACAAAAUAAUAGACAUAAAACGUCAUAUUAUGUGGAAAUAGUUAAAGUACCGGGGAAAAUAAAUAAGCAUAAAUAUGGUGUUUGUUCUUCACUGGUUGUCAUUUUCUUGUGGAAACAGAUCUUGCUGCUGUGAUGGCACACUGAGGUAUUUCACCCAGUAGAUAUGGGAGUUUAUCAAAAACAUUUAUUUCUGUUGAAUUCUUUGUGGAUCUGUGUAAUCAUCUCUCUCCUACUGCCUCCUGUCCUGUGUGAACAGUGAGGUGAACUAUCACUAGUCUUCUCUCUCCUACUGGCUCCUGUCCUGUGUGAACAGUGAGGUGAACUAUCACUAGUCUUCUCUCUCCUACUGGCUCCUGUCCUGUGUGAACAGUGAGGUGAACUAUCACUAAUCUUCUCUCUCCUACUGGCUCCUGUCCUGUGUGAACAGUGAGGUGAACUAUCACUAAUCUUCUCUCUCCUACUGGCUCCUGUCCUGUGUGAACAGUGAGGUGAACUAUCACUAAUCUUCUCUCUCCUACUGGCUCCUGUCCUGUGUGAACAGUGAGGUGAACUAUCACUAGUCUUCUCUCUCCUACUGGCUCCUGUCCUGUGUGAACAGUGAGGUGAACUAUCACUAAUCUUCUCUCUCCUACUGGCUCCUGUCCUGUGUGAACAGUGAGGUGAACUAUCACUAAUCUUCUCUCUCCUACUGGCUCCUGUCCUGUGUGAACAGUGAGGUGAACUAUCACUAGUCUUCUCUCUCCUACUGGCUCCUGUCCUGUGUGAACAGUGAGGUGAACUAUCACUAAUCUUCUCUCUCCUACUGGCUCCUGUCCUGUGUGAACAGUGAGGUGAACUAUCACUAGUCUUCUCUCUCCUACUGGCUCCUGUCCUGUGUGAACAGUGAGGUGAACUAUCACUAAUCUUCUCUCUCCUACUGGCUCCUGUCCUGUGUGAACAGUGAGGUGAACUAUCACUAAUCUUCUCUCUCCUACUGGCUCCUGUCCUGUGUGAACAGUGAGGUGAACUAUCACUAAUCUUCUCUCUCCUACUGGCUCCUGUCCUGUGUGAACAGUGAGGUGAACUAUCACUAAUCUUCUCUCUCCUACUGGCUCCUGUCCUGUGUGAACAGUGAGGUGAACUAUCACUAGUCUUCUCUCUCCUACUGGCUCCUGUCCUGUGUGAACAGUGAGGUGAACUAUCACUAAUCUUCUCUCUCCUACUGGCUCCUGUCCUGUGUGAACAGUGAGGUGAACUAUCACUAAUCUUCUCUCUCCUACUGGCUCCUGUCCUGUGUGAACAGUGAGGUGAACUAUCACUAAUCUUCUCUCUCCUACUGGCUCCUGUCCUGUGUGAACAGUGAGGUGAACUAUCACUAGUCUUCUCUCUCCUACUGGCUCCUGUCCUGUGUGAACAGUGAGGUGAACUAUCACUAAUCUUCUCUCUCCUACUGGCUCCUGUCCUGUGUGAACAGUGAGGUGAACUAUCACUAAUCUUCUCUUUGUGGGUUCAAAUGCCUUCGCUUUCAUU